rnacentral:misc_RNA from 1 species
GUAGGUGAACCUGCGGAAGGAUCAUUAAUGAAGGAAGGCGCGCUCUUUUUAGAGGCACCGACCCCAUCAAUUCCACACACCCGUGCACUCGGGAAGCGAGGGCCCUCGACUGAAAAAGUCCGUCGGUUCGUAAUCGCUGUCCCGCUCUUUACCAGCCCCAAGAAGUUGUAGAGGAUGCAUAAUGAUACUUUUGAAAACAAAACAAAACUUUCAACAACGGAUCUCUUGGCUCUC